GAUGAACGCUGGCGGCGUGCCUAAUACAUGCAAGUCGAGCGAACAGACGAGGAGCUUGCUCCUCUGACGUUAGCGGCGGACGGGUGAGUAACACGUGGAUAACCUACCUAUAAGACUGGGAUAACUUCGGGAAACCGCAGCUAAUACCGGAUAAUAUAUCGAACCGCAUGGAUCAAUAGUGAAAGACGGUUUUGCUGUCACUUAUAGAUGGAUCCGCGCCGCAUUAGCUAGUUGGUAAGGUAACGGCUUACCAAGGCAACGAUGCGUAGCUGACCUGAGAGGGUGAUCGGACACACUGGAACUGAGACACGGUCCAGACUCCUACGGUAGGCAGCGAUAGGGAAUCUUCCACAAUUGGCGAAAGCCUGACGGAGCAACGCCGCGUGAGUGAUGAAGGUCUUCGGAUCGUAAACCUCUGUUAUUAGGGAAGAACAAAAGUAUAAGUAACUAUGCACGUCUUGACGGUACCUAAACAGAAAGCCACGGCUAACUACGUG
rnacentral:rRNA from 1 species